AUCUUUUUGCAUUGCCUAGUGAAUCUGCUACAAAGGCUUUAAAAGCUGCAGAAGUAGCUCAAAGACGGGUUGAGAAAGAAAGACAAAAGAAGAUGGAACUUGAUGCUAUUGCUAAAAGAAUGCAAGAAGAUGCUGCACGUA